AACCUAGCACACCUGCGGUGUGUACCUGCUGAAGGAUCAUUACCGAGUUUACAAACUCCCAACCCUUUGUGAACCUUACCAUAUUGUUGCUUCGGCGGGACCGCCCCGGCGCCUUCGGGCCCGGAACCAGGCGCCCGCCGGAGGCCCCAAACUCUUAUGUCUUUAGUGGUUUUCUCCUCUGAGUGACACAUAAACAAAUAAAUAAAAACUUUCAGCAACGGAUCUCAGAUCGGAAGAGCA
rnacentral:misc_RNA from 1 species